rnacentral:sRNA from 1 species
GGAGGAGCAGAGCCUGCUACAGCCCAGGCUUCCCGCCAGUCAAGCCUGCUGGUGUGCUCUGGGUCUGGCCUGGGCUUACGAAGUUUCAGCUCCCGUGUGUGUGCCAUUAGACUCGUUGCACGCAGCUGUGUUGGACGACGGAGGCUGGACGCCCAUGAUCUGGGCCACGGAGUACAAGCACGUGGACCUUGUGAAGCUGCUGCUGUCCAAGGGCUCUGACAUCAACAUCCGGGACAACGAGGAGAACAUUUGCCUGCACUGGGCGGCGUUCUCCGGCUGCGUGGACAUAGCCGAGAUCCUGCUGGCUGCCAAGUGCGACCUCCACGCCGUGAACAUCCACGGAGACUCGCCGCUGCACAUUGCCGCCCGGGAGAACCGCUACGACUGUGUCGUCCUCUUUCUUUCUCGGGAUUCAGAUGUCACCUUAAAGAACAAGGAAGGAGAGACGCCCCUGCAGUGUGCAAGCCUCAACUCUCAGGUGUGGAGCGCUCUGCAGAUGAGCAAGGCUCUGCAGGACUCGGCCCCAGACAGGCCCAGCCCCGUGGAGAGGAUAGUGAGCAGGGACAUCGCUCGAGGCUACGAGCGCAUCCCCAUCCCCUGUGUCAACGCUGUGGAUGGCGAGCCAUGCCCCAGCAACUACAAGUACGUCUCUCAGAACUGCGUGACGUCCCCCAUGAACAUCGACAGAAACAUCACUCAUCUGCAGUACUGCGUGUGCAUCGACGACUGCUCCUCCAGCAACUGCAUGUGCGGCCAGCUCAGCAUGCGCUGCUGGUAUGACAAGGAUGG